AGCCUAAAAGACCGACGUCAGCAGGUGGACCUUAUAUAAUCCGUGGUGGUUGCUCAGUAAUUACCUAGACUCUCAGUCAGCAGUUUUAAAUCAAAGCCCUGUUAUCUACAUCCAACUGCAACAACAUUCAGAGCGCAGGGAGGAUGAUGCGAGGCGGCUAAUACAAGACAAGACCCCGUUAACUUCUGUUCCAGAUGUGCCUUCAAUGUGACAACCAACCAUUAAUCAUGGGGUCUGCCUCUGCAGCUCUCCAAGCCCGGCUCCCCGAGGCCUGGGGGGGUCGCCGGGCUUGGCUGUAGCCGGGGCAUGCUCUGCUACCUCCUCAGCCAAAGAAGCCAAGACGCAAGCCUCUCUACGCCCUUCUCCAUGGGGUCUCACGAGCUAAUCGUCCGUAAAGCCGAUGGGUGGACACUAACAUUAAUCUGGUUACGAGAUAUAGAGUGGAGAUCUAUGAUAAACUUGACAACUCCUAUUCCAAGGAUGACAACCUGGGGAGCGGUGAGGGCCGGACCUUAAGAACCCCGUCACAGGGAUGCACCCUUAACAUUACCACAACAUUCACAUUGGAACCUGACACAAAAUACUUUAAAGGUCCCAUGACAUGAAAUGUUCACUUUAGGAGGUUAUUUAACAUUAAUAUGAGUUCCCCUAGCCUGCCUUUUGUCCCCCAAUGGCUAGAAAUUUUGAUAGAUGUAAACCAAGCCCUGGGUAUUCUUCUCUGCCUUUGAGAAAAGGAAAUCUGAAACGCUCGGUUGUGAAAAUGUCCCUUUUGUGACGUCACAAUAGGGAAGGUUACCUCCCCCUUUCUCUGCUUUGCCCGCACAGAGAAUUUGGCCCACCAAUGAGAAAAUGAUCUACGACCGUGCGAGCGCGAUAUUGGUUUUUCCUCGAGACAUCAUGGCUUGCAAACGACCGAAGCAUGGCAGUUAGCGCCGCCUCUUUCUUCCUCAUAGCAUUUAAAGCUACAGACACAGAAACUGCACGUCCUGAGGAAAGCUCAUUGUGGGACUGCUCGUAGUGGCUGUAAUUCUGCACCAAGGCUGAAUUUCGGGAAAGAGACUUCAGAUACAGUAUUAGGGGACCACUAAGGCCUAUAUAAAAGCAUCCAAAAACAGCAUGUCAUGGGAUCUUUAAA